rnacentral:rRNA from 1 species
CUGAUGCAGCGAUGCCGCGUGAGUGAAGAAGGCCCUUGGGUUGUAAAACUCUUUCGUCGGGGAAGAAAAUGACUGUACCCGAAUAAGAAGGUCCGGCUAACUUCGUGCCAGCAGCCGCGGUAAUACGAAGGGACCUAGCGUAGUUCGGAAUUACUGGGCUUAAAGAGUUCGUAGGUGGUUGAAAAAGUUGGUGGUGAAAUCCCAGAGCUUAACUCUGGAACUGCCAUUAAAACUUUUCAGCUAGAGUAUGAUAGAGGAAAGCAGAAUUUCUAGUGUAGAGGUGAAAUUCGUAGAUAUUAGAAAGAAUACCAAUUGCGAAGGCAGCUUUCUGGAUCAUUACUGACACUGAGGAACGAAAGCAUGGGUAGCGAAGAGGAUUAGAUACCCUCGUAGUCCAUGCCGUAAACGAUGUGUGUUAGACGUUGGAAAUUUAUUUUCAGUGUCGCAGCGAAAGCGAUAAACACACCGCCUGGGGAGUACGACCGCAAGGUUAAAACUCAAAUGAAUUGACGGGGACCCGCACAAGUAGUGGAGCAUGUGGUUUAAUUCGAAGAUACGCGCAGAACCUUACCAACACUUGACAUGUUCGUCGCGACUCUAAGAGAUUAGAGUUUUCGGUUCGGCCGGACGAAACACAGGUGCUGCAUGGCUGUCGUCAGCUCGUGUCGUGAGAUGUUGGGUUAAGUCCCGCAACGAGCGCAACCCUCACUUUUAGUUGCCAUCAUUAAGUUGGGCACUCUGAAAGAACUGCCAGUGAUAAGCU